UUUUAUCUAAUUGGUUGGAUAACUACUUUUCAGGUGUCUUCUGAUUACCACAGUAACACAAUUUUCUUACUCAUGCUUUGCGCUUAGUAUAUUUCUUCACUCUGAAAAAUUAACUUUUGUUGGUUGCACGUCAAGUAACAAAGGUAAUACUUUUUUGUUGCUUCAUUGGCAUGGUUAGUUUUACAUCAUUUACUAAGUUGAAAGCAGUUGAGAUGUAUGCCUUAAUAUCUGUUGUUUUGUUGCGUGUUGCUAUUCCUUGAGGCCACUCCAAGAUGAUCGUUAUUUCUUAUGCAGACAAAUAAUUGCUGUAACAUGAUUACAUUUACUGAUUGGCGUAGCUGUACUUUUGGAUGGCAGUGUUCAUAGCUUAGUGGCAGUGUUUUAGAUGUCUUUUUUUCCUGUAUCCUAUUGGUGCCUUUGGAAAUUAAGAAUUACUUUCUUUUUAGGAUUCUUGCCGGAGGAGACGAACUUUUAUGGAUUCUUGCUGGAGGAGAUGAACUUUUAUGGUGUGUUUUUUCCCCUGUAUGCGUCGCUUCAGAUCAGGCUGAUGCUGUUGUUAUUAUGGAUGAGCUGUUGAAGGCCAAGGUUUUCCUUGUGAGAAUGCCAUAGGUACAAGAAAAGAUUGCCUGAAAGGUCUUUAUGGUUUAUUCUGCAAGGUUAGAGGCCUGCUGAGGCUAGCGUGAGGUCUGCUAUGGCAUCGAUGAUCUGGGUGUCAUGACUGUGAGGACUGCUCGCGCCUCUCCGCUCACAAACCGUGUGACAGAGUAAAUACUCUGGUCCACAACAAUUAGACCUUCCUCCCUCUCAGCUAUGGUAUUGCAGCACAACAAUCUCCUUCCACCUUCAUUUGUUGGGCUAGAGCGUUAGAAGACAUUCUAAUUUUCUAGCUAUAUUUUGCAAUGUUAGACUGGUCAAAUGUGUUUGUAUAUGGUCGCAGUGGCGUGAGCUUUUUCAUUACUUGAUCUGUUUAUUCAAACUCAAUUUUUCUGUUGUUGUGGAGAGGAGGAUCAUCUGCUCUUUCAUACAUAUUUAUUACCUUCACUAUGAUCAUGGUAUCGAUUAAACUAUUUCUAAAUAAGCUUCUCCAUCAAACAUGUCCUAAUUAUGUCUUUCAAGCUGGGGGUUGCUCACCCAACCUUUCAUGGAAAAAUGGCAAUCUGUUCACUUUGUGAUCAUUUAUUUAUUUGAAGUUGCCUAGGAAAGUUGGACAGACAUAAAACUUGGUCCAGGAACUCCUGGAUAUUGCAAUGUGUACUCUGUUUUCAUCUGAAUUUAUUAGUUGCUAGAGGUUGUACCUUUGACGUGGACCAUAAAUUGUCCAUUUGAGCUGAACUUUCUCCAGAGGAGAAAGUCCCGAUGCAAGCUGCCAUGUUUCUUAGCUGUAAUUUCUUUUACCAUCGUCUGAAGAAUUUCUUCCUACCUGUUUGCUAGGCCUGACCAGUAUUCAAGCACCCUAGCCUUUUUUUCCCUUGGCAAGAAACCUUGGCAGGUGCUAUGAGGUACAGAAGCUGGAGAGAUAGUUCCGAAACUCCUUGAGGGCUUGGAGGGUUUAGGGUGUUUGAAAAUGAGACCCAAAUAAAAUUCUUUUCCAUGUCGUUGUUCUGCUGGAACUGUUAUUCUUAUUUCUCUCGUCAACAAUGGAUAUUGUGCCACAAAGUGCCCAGGCAGCUGGAAGCACACAUAAAACCAUCGAUGCUCCUUUCCGUAGGAGAAAUAAGUGAACGGACAAUCUUUUCAUCUUUGUAUAAAUUCAGAUGUGAUUAGCCAAGUCCAGAAGAUUUGGUCUACUUCUCACUAAAUCCCAUCUGUUCUUCAGAUAAUACUUUUUCUUUGAGUUCAGACGCGAUUAGCCUUCAUGAUGCAUGGAUGCAAAUUUGGACAGUUGGAUUCUUGAUGUGCACAUAAAUACAUUGAGAAGAUGGAACUAGAAUUAAACUUCCGUCCAACUGCAGGUCAAGGUUAGAGUGGUUCUGCAACUAUUUCCAUCUGAAAAGAUAUACUUUGCAGCAUCCUGUAUGAUACGUAUAUGCUUGCAGAGGCGUCCGAGCUGUCGAGGUGAGCAGUGGUGGACAACUAUAUAGUGUGUCCUCUUCUUCCUCGACGAUGCCUCCGUGCUUUCCCAUGUCGCCUCACCAGCCACCACCAACAGCAGUGUAUUGAUCUAUGGCGGGCAAGACCAAAGCACUGCAGCCGCCCGAGGGGCGCCCAAGGCCAAGCCUACACUAGCAGCGGCGAUGACGGAGGCGGAGGCGAAGGAGCUCCCCAAGGCCAUCGCGUGGCAGCUGGUCCAGGACAAGCUCGCCUGGGUUGCCGUGGCCGGCGCCGGCGAAGGAGGAGGGUGGAGGUGUGGUGGACAAGGACGCCAUGGCCGCCUUCGCCACUGCCUCUCUACCACUUCAGAAUAUCACUAUAUCUUCAUCCCUGCCUCUCUGCCACUUCAGAAUAAUAGUUGACGUUUUCACCAUAAAUCUGUGUACUGCAGCAUUUUUAUAGAUACUCUCUGUAAAUAAAAUCUUUUUUUCUUUAAGGGUUCAUAUAUAACUCUGUUACAACAUUGAACUAAAUCCUGAAUUCCUGAUCC